AUCCCUCUGGCCUUUUGGCUUAGAUCAAGUGUAGUAGUAUCUGUUCUUCUAAGUUCGAACAACUUGGAUCGCAAAAAUUAUGCGACAAACGUUCGAUCUAAUUCUUAUCUGCGUCUACGUACCCUCACUGCUUGCAUCGGGUAGGUAGAAAAUGGCCUUGUGUUGCACUACCGCAUGUACCGUCAACGCGCU
rnacentral:snRNA from 1 species